rnacentral:tRNA from 1 species
GUAAAUAUGGCGAAACGGGUAAACGCACUAAAUUUAGGAUUUAGUAGUUAAGAGUUCGAGUCUCUUUAUUUAUA